rnacentral:tRNA from 1 species
UCCCUGGUGGCUCAGAUGGUAGAGAAUCUGCCUGCAAUGCAGAAGACCUGAGUUCGAUCCCUGGGUCGGGAA